rnacentral:rRNA from 1 species
UCGGGACGCAGCCAGUAGGAAGUCUCAGCAUGACGAAAGUCUGGCCGGAGCAACCCUGCUGUGAAUGAAGAAGGUUUCGGAUCGUACAACUCUGUUGUUGAAGAAGAACAGGAUGAGAGUAGAUGUUCAUCACUUGAUCGGAUAUCUAACCAGAAAGCCACGUCUAAACUACGUCCUCUGCAGCCUCGGUAAUACUUAGAUGGCAAGCGUUGUCCGAGAUUUAUUGGGAUAAGGCGAGCGCAGGCGGUUUCUUAAGUCUGAUGUGAAAGCCCCCGGCUCAACCGGAGAAGAGUCAUUGGAAACUGGGAGACUUGAGUGCAAAAGAGGAGAGUGGAAUUCCAUGUGUAGCGGUGAAAUGCGUAGAUAUAUGGAGGAACACCAGUGGCGAAGGCGGCUCUCUGGUCUGUAACUGACGCUGAGGCUCGAAAGCGUGGGGAGCGAACAGGAUUAGAUACCUUGGUAGUCCACGCCGUAAACGAUGAGUGCUAAGUGUUGGAGGGUUUCCGCCCUUCAGUGCUGCAGCAAACGCAUUAAGCACUCCGCCUGGGGAGUACGACCGCAAGGUUGAAACUCAAAGGAAUUGACGGGGGCCCGCCCAAGCGGUGGAGCAUGUGGUUUAAUUGGAAGCAACGGGAAGACCCUUACCAGGUCUUGACAUCCUUUGACCACUCUAGAGAUAGAGCUUCCCCUUCGGGGGCAAAGUGACAGGUGGUGCAUGGUGGUCGUCAGCUCGUGUCGUGAGAUGUUGGGUUAAGUCCCGCAACGAGCGCAACCCUUAUUGUUAGUUGCCAUCAUUUAGUUGGGCACUCUAGCGAGACUGCCGGUGACAAACCGGAGGAAGGUGGGGAUGACGUCAAAUCAUCAUCCCCCUUAUGCCUUGGGCUACACACGUGCUCCAAUGGGAAGUACAACGAGUUGCGAAGUCGGGAGGGUAAGCUAAUUUCUUAAAGCUUCUUUCAGUUCGGAUUGUAGGCUGCAACUCGCCUACAUGAAGCCGGAAUCGUUAGUAAUCGCGGAUCAGCACGCCGCGGUGAAUACGUUCCCGGCCCUUGUACACCCCGCCCGUCACACCACGAGAGUUUGUACCACCGGAAGUCGGUGAGGUACCCUUUGGAGCCAGCCGCGAAGGGGAAGGG